UGGGGAAUAUUGCACAAUGGGGGAAACCCUGAUGCAGCGACGCCGCGUGAACGAAGAAGGUAUUCGUAUCGUAAAGUUCUGUCCUAUGGGAAGAUAAUGACAGUACCAUAGAAGAAAGCUCCGGCUAAAUACGUGCCAGCAGCCGCGGUAAUACGUAUGGAGCGAGCGUUGUCCGGAAUUAUUGGGCGUAAAGGGUACGCAGGCGGUUUAAUAAGUCGAAUGUUAAAGAUCGGGGCUCAACCCCGUAAAGCAUUGGAAACUGAUAAACUUGAGUAGUGGAAAGGAAAGGUGAAUUCCUAGUGUAGUGGUGAAAUACGUAGAUAUUAGGAGGAAUACCAGUAGCGAAGGCGACUUUCUGGACACAAACUGACACUGAGGUACGAAAGCGUGGGGAGCAAACAGG
rnacentral:rRNA from 1 species